CUUCUACUCCUCCUCCUUUGUCUUCCAAAAAAAAAAAACUUCAUCCCAUCAACUUCUAGCCUUGCUUGAAGAGUUCGAAAACCUUCUACAAUGACUAUUGUAUCUUUUAACAACUGGUUUCAGAAUAUUUCUAUUAAAGAGAAAAUACUGGGAUAGAAAACGAAACGGAAAGGAAAGGAAAGGGAAAACAAAAGAACGAAGAAAGUAAUAGAGAAAAAGGUAAAUAGGGGAAAAUUGGAAGAAAGCAAUGAAAAAGGACAGCGAGAAGAGAUAAAAAGAGAGGGAGGAAUAGAACUAAAGGGAAGCAAAUGCAUAAAGGAAAGAAAGAAAGAUAGAAAAAAAGAAAUAUAGAAAAAAUGUAGGAAAAAAAAAAAAA